GGUCAUGAGUGCCAGUGCCAAGCCCCGGCUCGCUGGUCGGCAACCCUCCUGCGACGGCGGGGUGCUCCGGGUGAGGACCUGGCCGGUCGGCAGUCGACCGGCAAGCGUCGAAC
rnacentral:ncRNA from 2 species